ensembl:lncRNA
AGAUGACAGACAGAGUCAAGUUGCUUCACCUGCCUGCACUCUAUUUGCUAAUUACUGUAAUGAGUGUCACCUGCAGUAAUUAGUUCACUCCAUUGACUGUUCUCUACCUCACCUCCAGUAUUUAAGCUCUGUGCUUCCAGUCACUCAUCGCUGGAUCAUCGGCUCACAUCCCUCCAUGGCUUCUGCUGUGUUCCUGGAUUGUGGGUUUCCCCACCAAGCCUUCUGCUGCUUGUCAGCUUCAGCCUCUUGGACUCAACAGAUUUUGCUGUCCUGGAUUUUGCUCUUGUGGACUCGGUUCAACUCCUGUCUGUUUUUGGAUGCUCCCCAGUCUUCAGUCUGCCAAUUUUGUUUCCCCACUAGCUUCUGGGUUCUCCUAGCCUGCCUAGCCUUUAGUUUGGUUUUCCCCUGGUUUUUGUAAGUACAUUGCUGUGUUUGGUUCAGGUUAUUCCUGUUUGGUUUUGUGGUUUUUGUUGGUUUGGUAGUGUAGUUUCUUUUAGUGUUGAUUGUGGUUUAGUUUGUCUGCUGGAGUCUGUUUCACGAAGCGGGUUCAACAAACUGUUGUUGGUUAAAUCAACUCGGAGUAGUUUCCCCCCGGAGUUAAGCAUGUGCACCACAGCUCUGAAAAGCCAGUAUCAAUGGAGCGCUGAUUUGAUGAGUCACCAUGGCAACGGAAAGAACUGCAACACUGCUGCAGCUGCAAAUGAGAGGGAAACAGCGUGGGAGAGGAGUGCAGCAUGGCUCAAUGCGUGCAAAAGGGAGACUGCCUGGGAGAACAUUGCUGCCCGAGUCAAUAUGUAAGUUGAAACCACAACAGUGUAGUGGGGAAAACUGUGAUGGUAACCUGUUCUGUUAUUUUAUGUAGGUGCAAUCCUGUGGGGGAGAAAUGUAUGUGACAAACGGGUAAGAAGCAUUUAUCACUGGAUAGACUGGAAGACAAAUUCUGGCUGUUCUGUUACCUCCACUGUGUGUUUGUUGAGUCUUCUCCUCUACAGGCUGGGGACCUGGAACCUUUGACUGAAUUUUAAGUAACUAUUCACAGGCUUUCUAUCUUUUGGGACCAGCGUAGCGGCCUAUCUACCUAUAGCACGUCUCUCUAUACAGAUAGUUAUACUAGCUAUCCAGCUGAAUGACUACACAUUCUCACCCAUUCACAUCUGACAACCACAAAACACAUCAUGUCAUACAUCAACAAUAUUUAACAAACACACAUCACUGAAAGACUCACUUGCCUUAAUAACAAAAUCUAAACAUCAUAAACAAAUAUCCAUUUCAACUCUCUAAAGAACGUUAAUGUCACACUGACACAAAACUAAGACUUCCCAGUUUACUAAGUAACAUGACUUCCUUUACUCAACACAUACUACUUUCACCCAAAAUUAAACACAUGCAUCACAACUAGAAAAACACUUCAAUGUAACCCCAAUGCCACCAUAACAACAGAAGCACUGAAAACUACACCCUUUGAAUUGAAAAUCUGAAUACAACUAUGUAACAAAUUUGAACACCUUUUUCAAAUGAAAUACAUCACUACAGCUGCAAAACACAACAAAAUAGCAUGAAACAACAUUAAUACCCAGCUCAAACUGUAACUUUAAAUCACCAUAAUACAAAAGAAACCUGUUUCAAUGACACACUGCUACAUUAUUUCAUUUAACUGCAAGCCUGUGGUAUAUAAACACAUACAACAAGACCUUAAAAUGAAAUGUAACACCAUAUUUAAUAAGACAAAAACAUCAGCAUAAUAUCAUACAGCUACCUCAUUUUAAAUGUAUUUUACAUUGUCAAAGAACAGACAUAUUAAGUAGCUGUUUGCCUGUGCAACAGUUUUAUCUAACACACCCUAAAUAUCUGUAUCCAUAUCAACUUACAUUAAAUAAUUAACCCUAUUUCAACAAAUACCUCUACUCAGCCAAGUCACUCUCUAUAUAUC